rnacentral:piRNA from 1 species
UGAGAAUUGUGGGUUUAAGUGUGAACGUA